AUCGCCCCACUGCCCUCCAGGGUGGGCGACAGAGCCAGACCCUGUUGCUAAAAAAAAAAAAAAAAAAAAAAAAAAAAUCCAUAAAGCCGGGGACCAUCUUUGCUCCAAGGAGGUCAGCUGACCCGGGCUGGCACAGGCCCUGGCGCAGUUCCCGCCCCUCCCGGGAGCGCUGGCACCGCCCCUUGGCACCACCCCCUCCCCGCGCCCCCGCCUUCCAGGAAGGGGCGGGGUCUCCGAGACGGGUGGGGCCGGAGCUCCAAGCUGGUUUGAACAAGCCCUGGGCAUGUUUGGCGGGAAGUUGGCUUAGCUCGGCUACCUGUGGCCCCGCAGUUUUGUAGUCCCCGCCUUGUUUCUCCCCAGAGGCCUCUCAAUCCUCCCUCCAUGAUCUUCGCAUAGAGCACAGUACCCCUUCACACGGAGGACGCGAUGGCUCCCAAGAAACGCCCAGAAACCCAGAAGACCUCCGAGAUUGUAUUACGCCCCAGGAACAAGAGGAGCAGGAGUCCCCUGGAGCUGGAGCCCGAGGCCAAGAAGCUCUGUGCGAAGGGCUCCGGUCCUAGCAGAAGAUGUGACUCAGACUGCCUCUGGGUGGGGCUGGCUGGCCCACAGAUCCUGCCACCAUGCCGCAGCAUCGUCAGGACCCUCCACCAGCAUAAGCUGGGCAGAGCUUCCUGGCCAUCUGUCCAGCAGGGGCUCCAGCAGUCCUUUUUGCACACUCUGGAUUCUUACCGGAUAUUACAAAAGGCUGCCCCCUUUGACAGGAGGGCUACAUCCUUGGCGUGGCACCCAACUCACCCCAGCACCGUGGCUGUGGGUUCCAAAGGGGGAGAUAUCAUGCUCUGGAAUUUUGGCAUCAAGGACAAACCCACCUUCAUCAAAGGGAUUGGAGCUGGAGGGAGCAUCACUGGGCUGAAGUUUAACCCUCUCAAUACCAACCAGUUUUACGCCUCCUCAAUGGAGGGAACAACUAGGCUGCAAGACUUUAAAGGCAACAUUCUACGAGUUUUUGCCAGCUCAGACACCAUCAACAUCUGGUUUUGUAGCCUGGAUGUGUCUGCUAGUAGCCGAAUGGUGGUCACAGGAGACAACGUGGGGAACGUGAUCCUGCUGAACAUGGACGGCAAAGAGCUUUGGAAUCUCAGAAUGCACAAAAAGAAAGUGACGCAUGUGGCCCUGAACCCAUGCUGUGAUUGGUUCCUGGCCACAGCCUCCGUAGAUCAAACAGUGAAAAUUUGGGACCUGCGCCAGGUUAGAGGGAAAGCCAGCUUCCUCUACUCGCUGCCGCACAGGCAUCCUGUCAACGCAGCUUGUUUCAGUCCCGAUGGAGCCCGGCUCCUGACCACGGACCAGAAGAGCGAGAUCCGAGUUUACUCUGCUUCCCAGUGGGACUGCCCCCUGGGCCUGAUCCCGCACCCUCACCGUCACUUCCAGCACCUCACACCCAUCAAGGCAGCCUGGCAUCCUCGCUACAACCUCAUUGUUGUGGGCCGAUACCCAGAUCCUAAUUUCAAAAGUUGUACCCCUUAUGAAUUGAGGACGAUCGAUGUGUUCGAUGGAAACUCAGGGAAGAUGAUGUGUCAGCUCUAUGACCCAGAAUCUUCUGGCAUCAGUUCGCUUAAUGAAUUCAAUCCCAUGGGGGACACGCUGGCCUCUGCAAUGGGUUACCACAUUCUCAUCUGGAGCCAGGAGGAAGCCAGGACACGGAAGUGAGAGACACUAAAGAAGGUGUGGGCCAGACAAGGCCUUGGAGCCCACACAUGGGAUCAAGUCCUGCAAGCAGAGGUGGCGAUCUGUUAAAGGGCCAAAAGUAUCCAAGCCAAUAAAACCAUACCGACUGAGCUUCUGCGUGGAUCUUCCAGAAGUGACCUGGUCAGAGAGCUUCUUGCGUCUCAGAAAUGAAGAAAAGGCACAGGAAACAGCACUAUCAGUCCAAUAGGAAACAGCACUAUUCAUUCUCUGGGAGCUGCCCCAGCCCUAUUCUGGGCCACAGUCUAGAACUUUCUUUCCCAGCUCACAACCUGCAUGUAGCUCAGGUCCCUGGAGACCCCAGCCCAGCUGAGGGAGAGCAGUUUCCUGAUUCGUGUGACAAGCAACUCCAUUCCCACCACUCCCCACUCCCUCCCAAGUACAGACAACCUUCCAUCCUGCUCCAGUUGAAGGGGUCACAACGAUUCCUGAAGCAUUCUGUCUGAGUCUAAUGGUGGCUCUAGCCAGACACAGGGAAAUGUGGCUGGCUGGCUGUUGGGUGAUCCAGUUCCUUGGGAGCCAAUGUUUGUACCCCUGGUAUUAGCUGUUUUUCCCGCUAAAAUAAGCACUGAGAGGCAAGACCGUGUCCCUCUGAGCUAUUUGCCAAAGACUUCAGGCUGGAGGAAAAAGAACAGGGCUUGAUAGAAGUGCAAGGCGGAUCCAGCACCAACUCUGCCAUUUUCUAAUCCUAGGUCCUGAGUGAACACUGACUGCCAGUUUACAUCUCAGGUGUGUAGGGAGCGUGGAGGAGGCAAAUCCUGUUUGGAGAAAGCCAGUGUCCAACACAGCACUUGGUAAACGUCAGGCAUGGGAAUGCUGAGUGACAGGCACCACGGGCCACGCUGAGCCCCACUCGCUCAUCUGGCUGGGGUCAUCAGAGGGAGGCCCAACCCAGGAUCUCCUGUCCAUGGGCUGGGGAGCAGCAACAGUCAGGAGCGAGGGCCCAGCCCACCUCCCCUAGGAGGUGGAGGGAAGGGGGCUGAGUGGUUGUCAGGCGUGGUCCUCCCCAUCUGCGACGUGGCGGUAGCCAGGAGGCUGGGCCUGCAUCCGGAAGAGGACGGUGAGGAGCAGCACUAUGAGGAGGAAGAGGAUGGAGCCACAUACAGCCAAGGCCACGAUCACCUCUGGGCAUGGGGGAGGCAAGAGAAAGGUCAUGUCAGCGUUCCAUCAUAUGCCAGGUACUGUUCUGACAUAUAGGAGAUACACAGAGGUGGCCAAGACAGAGUCCCUGCUCUCAUGGAGUUUACAUUCUAGGAGAGGGGAUGUAAUAAAUAAGCAAAUGGGCUGGUCACAGUGGCUCACGCCUAUAAUCCCAACACUUUGGAAGGUUGAGGUGGGCAGAUCACCUGAGGUCAGGAGUUGGAGACCAGCCUGGCCAUCAUGGUGAAAACCCAUCUCUACUAAAUAAAGUUGGCCGUGCGCAGUGGCUCACA